rnacentral:lncRNA from 1 species
AUGGGAAAACGGGGGUGUGAGUCCAGGCGUCUCCGCCCGGAGCUCAGGGCUAGGCUGUUCCCCUCACAGCCCCAGGCUGCUCCGAGCUCCCUCCGAGCUCUGUGUCUGCAGCAGAGCCCAGGUCAGGCAGGCUUCUGUCUCCCUGGAGCCCGCAGAUGGACGGGGGGUGAGGAGAUGCCCGGGGGAGGCCAGCAGGACCCAGCUGCAGCGGCCGCAGGGGACCUGGACGCGUCUCGUCUGCCCGGGCCCCUGCUCCCUGGACAAGGGAACGGGGCCGGAGAGGGGGCGCCCGGGGGGCUCCGGGCACGUCUCGCCGGGCAGUGUCUAGCUGCUGGGCCCAGGCUGCGGGGCUGUCCGGCCGCGGCGGGGCCAGGAGCGAGCUGUCUCCGGCCAGCGCUGAGCUUUACGGGGCAUUAACGAGCCAUUUAAAAAGCGCUGACAACACACUUUGUGGCUCCUAUUUAAGAUGUACUAAAAAAUAAGCACCUUUUCAGGGAGGAAGCUGCAGGAUGUCGGGUUAAAAUAUGUCCGUGGUGUCACCUACGCACAUGUCACCCUGCAGGUGCCUGUGGGGGAGCAUCCAGCACUCAGCUUCACCCCUCGGUGGGUUUGCAGGGUGGCGGUUUCUUGAUGAGCGGGUUCAUUUGUCAGCAACUCCAGCUCUGCAGGGGGAAGGGGAGGGAGGUCUGAAGCGUUGGGGGUGUUAGGUGGAGUGGGGGUGGGAGGGGAGGGCAGACGAAAUUACCUGCUCCAGGCAGCCCACUUUGCAGAUGGAAACGCUGAGGCCCAGAGCAGAGAAGGAAAGGUCCGAGGUCACCCGCCCUGAGAGUUGCCCCCAGCAGCUCUCAGCACCCCCAGACCCGGGGAGGGGGGCACCGCACCCAGAGAGCAUCCUCCAAUAUCUCCCUCCUCAUUGCAUGUCGAAGAGACAUUCUCAGGACGUGGGGCGGGCCUGGGCUCUGCGUGGGGUCUCUGUGACCUCCGGUGCACCCUGCCUCUCUCUGGGGCCGUAUCUGUAAAAUGGGUAGCGCGGUGAUGCCCAGAUGGGACGAGGGACGAGGGGCGUGGGGAGCUUCCCAGCUUGGCGGGGCCCCCUCACGGGGCUUAGGACAGUCUCCUGGAGAGCUCCCUGGAGUGGGGGGGGGGCUCCUGCUCCUCCCUCCUCCCUCCUCCUCCUCCCUGCUCUUCCUUCUUCUUUUCCACGAGUAUUUCUUAAGUGCUUGUCACGAGCCAGGCACUGUGACGGGCGCCGGGGUACAGCAGCGACCGGACAGUGUCAUCAAACACACGCACACACACAAGGACGGAGUCUCCAGCCACUUCACGGAGCUAGUAGUUGUGCGGACGAGGCCAAAGCUGGGUGUAAAACCACAGCAAUGUGGUAAGGCUGCCACGUACCUCCUCCCAUGGGGCGGACGUGCGGUGCCAUGAGAGGGUUUAAGAGGGGUUGACCGGGCCGGGGAGGUUGAGGAGGGCUUCCCUGAGGAGGUGAUGCCCGAGCCAAGUGCUGUGGGAUGAGUGGAGAAGCCAAGAGGGGCAGGGGGCAGCAGGCAGAGGGAGUAGCAUGUGCAAAGGCCCUGUGGUGGAAGCUCAAGAGGACGAGGAAGGGCCAGUGUGGCUGCUGUGGGGCGGGCUCUGGGCAGCGACCGACGGGGCUGGGCCAGGCCUCCUUGAGGCCCGGGAUGGGGACAGCGAUACACUUAGGAUUGGGGCGUGGACGGAUUUCUGGUUGUUACGUAGAGGAGUGGCCUGAACAUGAGUCGAGGGUGGAGUGGGGAGGUGGAUGGGGGUGAAUGUGUGCAUCUGGGCGUGGACCAGGGUGGUGGCCUCAGGGUGCCCGCUGUCACCCAGUACUCCCCGGAGGCAGGCUGACCCAGUGAAGUCCCCGUGGGUGUUUGGGAGGGAGGUCCGGGGCCCUGGGACUGGCUGUUCAGCAGGUGGGCGGUGGUCUGAGGGCGCCCCUUCCUCCGCUGGGGGCCGGGGGGCCGUGCUGAGGCCAGGCACACGAGGCGCUGAAAUGCAGCUCCAGAGGCCGCGGGGGUGUGCCCUGGGUUCCCGGACCCGGGGAGCACCGGGUGCCCCAGAGGGGAGGGGAGCGCGAAGGAACGAGUGGCUUGCCCUCCCUAGUUCUGACUGAUGGUGACAGCUUGCAUCUUUAGUCUGAGAAGUAUCUAUGGGAUAAGGACCGCUUUCCUCAAUCGGGAUAAUUAUGUUAAUUAAAAUGCUUUCUUUAUAGCGGUUCUGAUUAAUAAAAACAGUUCCACUGCUCUCUUUAAACACUCUAACCUUCUGUUGCACGGGGAAGGAGGUCCUUUCUCAGCAAUUUACGGCUCUUCACGCAGAUUCCAGGAGGCGACCGCCGCUGGGGUGGCCCGGUGGCGGGCACUUGGCUCACACACGUGUGGGGACGGAUGCACACGCAGUGGCCGUCGCGGGCGGGGAUGGCGCGGAGUCUGCUGGAGAGUAAAAAGACCACUAAUUUCUCUAAUUGCUGUUUAUUUGCCUCGGAAAAGCACGGGGAUAAUUAAUGAGCUCCCGGUUAAGAAAAAAUCACGUGUGGGGUAAAGAGGGUGCCGGGGCUGGAAGUGGUUCUGGAGUUGAAGGGUGAUGGUGGGGGAGCUCGGGGGGGGGGCUGGGAGGAAGCAGAGGGGUGCCCUGGUGGUGGAUGCUCUGGGCUGGGGGGUCGGGGAGGGGGUGCUGGAGGCAGGGAGGGCAGGUGGGAAGGGGGAUGACGGGGUGUCUCCUGCCCCCGGAGAAGGUGGACACUGGGUUCCAGGGCCGGCCUCCUCUGACUCCCAGUCCCCCAGCUCUGACCCUUGAUGCCGCCGCUCCACCCACGUCAGAGGGCCCGAACGGGGGCCCGGAGGUGGAUCUGGCCCACAGACGUGUGUGAGCGCGAGCUCGGGGGAGAGCACGUGCGUGUGUGCAGGUGUGAGCACAGGUGCGGGUCUCGGUACGUGUAUGUGGCCCAGCGUGUCCGUGUGAGAGCGUGAGAGGCGCCCGUGUGCCUGUGGGCUCAGUGUGCACGUGUGCGUGAGAAUAUGAGCGUACAUGUACGAUAGGAGCGUCCGGGUGCGUGCGUGUGUCCAUUCGCGACAGGAUUCGUAGUCCUUAGAUUCCGGAAAGGUUGGGAGGUGUGCCACGAAAACCAGGCGCCGUGCACCUCUUGGAAAGUCAGAAGCCCGGACCCCGCGCCCCGCGAGGAGCUCCAGGUGGACACGGGCAGCGGCAGCUCCCGCUGGUCUCGCCUUCACACCCCCUCCCCGUUUAUAUUACAGUCUGACUCGGGAUGGGGGGGCAGAGGGAGUAGCAUGUGCAAAGGCCCUGUGGUGAGUUUUCAACCCCUGGUCUCGGGGAGGCACCCCGUGACUCCGUCAGGGCUGGCAGGAUGGUCUUGUAUGGAGAAGGGGGUUUAGGCCCCAGAGAAGGCGGGGGAUGUCUCAGGUGACCGCUGUCCCCUUCUCCUGAAAGGACUGAGCACACGUGGGGUCACGGAGGCCCCGAGUCGGGGUGCCCUAGGUGCUGGAAGGAGACUGUGGGGUUCCCCAGUAUGUUCGCAGCCCCGAGGGGCUCAGACAAGGCGGCGGGGGUGGGGGGCGACUCUCCCAACAAGGCAGAGAGGAGGGGCCGUAGGAGACGCUGCAGCAACCCGUCCCUGUACCCGAAGCCCCGGCUCUCUGCUGGACGCCCGUCCCCAGGUCUUUGUCGCUGCCACCCUCUUGGCCAUGCUAAGGCCCCGGGGCUGAAACUGGAGGGUCCCCACCACCCACCAGAGGAAGCCACGCUGCUGGCUCCCUAGACCCCUGGCCCUUCCUCAUGGGAACGCCGCGGACCAGCC